UCCAAAAUUUCUGCGAAAAGUCGAAAAGCACGAUUGAAACGCACACGGAGCUGAAACGCCUAUUCAAACAAGCUCCGAGCCAACAUCGCGACUCCUCCGCUUUCAGCAUCGCGUUCAACGUUCCCGCAUUCGUGAAUUCAGUCGCGUUUUCCAUGUCUUCUUUAACUCUCUCAGGCGAUUAACCGUGAAUCACAGUGUUAGGAUUAGUUUGGGUGAAAGGAUUUUGGACUAUGUGUUAUGAGCUGCAAGGGUGUUAUUGUCAUUUGUUGUAUGCGUGAGAGGAGGUUGAUGUGAAAUUGCAGGCGGAAGUUUGUGUAAAUAAUACGCAGGGUCCUGUUUAUGCCUGCAGAACCAUGGUCUUGUGAUACCUUGGUGAGGACAACAUGGUGUGCUUACUUUUUGCUAACUUCCAAAUGGUUUCCAAAGGGUUUUGUUUUAGGAAGUAGAUGUGAUGUAUGUAGAAUAUUAAAUGUAAUUUGGAAUUUAUAAUGUAUGGAAAUGUUGAAAUUUCAUGGAAUGUGCAAUUGAAUUUGGUAUAGUGGAAAGUGUUCAUUGUAUUUGUGAUUGAAAUUUGUUUGAACUUGUAAUUUUGUAAAUAAGGAUUGGUUUGUAAUGUGGGUGAAUAUUGUAAUGGAUUGAAUACUUAUUGAAUGGUUA